rnacentral:rRNA from 1 species
GACGAACGCUGGCGGCGUGCUUAACACAUGCAAGUCGAGCGACGCUCUUCCUUCGGGGAGCUGACGGAGCGGCGAACGGGUGAGUAACACGUGGGCAACCUGCCCCUAGCUCUGGGGCAACACCGGGAAACCGGUGCUAAUACCGGAUACGACAUCGAGCGGCAUCUCUCGAUGUGGAAAGUUUUUUCGGCUAGGGAUGGGCCCGCGGCCUAUCAGCUUGUUGGUGGGGUAAUGGCCCACCAAGGCGACGACGGGUAGCCGGCCUGAGAGGGCGACCGGCCACACUGGGACUGAGACACGGCCCAGACUCCUACGGGAGGCAGCAGUGGGGAAUAUUGCGCAAUGGGCGAAAGCCUGACGCAGCGACGCCGCGUGAGGGAUGACGGCCUUCGGGUUGGAAACCUCUUUCAGCAGGGACGAAUUCAGACGGUACCUGCAGAAGAAGCACCGGCCAACUACGUG